rnacentral:rRNA from 1 species
UACGGGGGGGGCAAGCGUUGUUCGGAAUUACUGGGCGUAAAGGGCUCGUAGGCGGCCAACUAAGUCAGACGUGAAAUCCCCAGGCUCAACCUGGGAACUGCGUCUGAUACUGGAUGGCUUGAAUUCGGGAGAGGGAUGCAGAAUUCCAGGUGUAGCGGUGAAAUGCGUAGAUAUCUGGAGGAAUACCGGUGGCGAAGGCGGCAUCCUGGACCGACAUUGACGCUGAGGAGCGAAAGCUAGGGGAGCAAACAGG